rnacentral:tRNA from 1 species
CCGGGACUCGGCGGGGGAGAGCCGGUUCUCCUCCUGCGAGAGGGUCCGCGGGGCGGACUCCCGGUUCUGGUCCUGGGUCUGGG